rnacentral:rRNA from 1 species
AACGAACGCUGCGGCAUGCCUAACACAUGCAAGUCGAACGAGACCUUCGGGUCUAGUGGCGCACGGGUGCGUAACGCGUGGGAACCUGCCCUUAGGUUCGGAAUAACUCCCCGAAAGGGGUGCUAAUACCGGAUAAUGUCUUCGGACCAAAGAUUUAUCGCCUUUGGAUGGGCCCGCGUUGGAUUAGCUAGUUGGUAGGGUAAAAGCCUACCAAGGCGACGAUCCAUAGCUGGUCUGAGAGGAUGAUCAGCCACACUGGGACUGAGACACGGCCCAGACUCCUACGGGAGGCAGCAGUGGGGAAUAUUGGACAAUGGGCGAAAGCCUGAUCCAGCAAUGCCGCGUGAGUGAUGAAGGCCUUAGGGUUGUAAAGCUCUUUUACCCGGGAUGAUAAUGACAGUACCGGGAGAAUAAGCUCCGGCUAACUCCGUG